UCAAAAGUUUUAAUAUUUAUUAGCAGACAGCAAGAAGAAACUACAUUUAAAUUCCCUUACUGCUUUUCCAAAUUAUACAUCGCCACUUUGAAUGAUCAUAUGAUGUAUCAUGCAUCACCUACUAGCAUUCAUAAAUGAGACCUUAGGUUAAACACAAUUUGUAAUUGAUUAAUGUGCACUCACUUUCCAACAGAAGUUGUUAUAUCCAUGGCCAGGUAAAUAAAUGCAGACUCAACUGAGGUUAAUUCUAGAAUAUAGCUAUAUCGUAAUUUAAUUCAUUUAUAACAUCCAGGAGCACUAAUGGGUAGGAAGGGUCAAAUGACCAAAAAAAAGAAGCCUCCUUCACAUUGCAUUCUUAUUGUGUAUUCUGCUGUUGAGAACCUUUCCAAGAAGGCAGUUGUUUAAUUUUGUUCAUCAAGCUUUGUAGUGCCUCCACCUGUAGACCAUAUGGCUUACAUUAGCACAAAAGAUAAGCUGUUUUAAAAGUACUCAGUAAAAAAAUAAUGUAUAAUUUAAUAGCUUGCUGGGACAUUUUCAGCACUAAUGGGGUUAAAAAUAAACAAUUGCAGUGUUUGCCUGCAUUAGUAUGUUUUGAACUAAACAAUUCUAUUUCAUUUGAUAGAAAAAAAAAGAAAAACAAAAUCUUCCAACGUUUUAAAUUAAAUAGUUUUAGGCAUUAAAGCUUGUGUUAUUUUAACAAAUUUUGCUACAUGCAAAAAACAAAUUUUUACUUAACGUAAAUUUUCUUUUUCCAGAAGAUUAGAGGCAGUGUUUUACAACUGGGAUUUCAUCACAUGGAGGGAAAAAACAGGCAGGCAAUCUCCCAAACUUUUCAAGAACCUCCCCCAAUUAACCUUUGGCAUUAUAAAUUGCUUCCUACCCAAGACAUCCCCAGAAAUUACAAAGGCCGAAUAACCGUACCACUCAGACUAUGAACAAAUUUGGGGGCAGAAGUUAGCACUGCCUCUAAUCUUCUGUAAAAAGAAAUUUACGGUAAGUAAAAAAUUUUGGUUUUCCCUUCAGAUUAGAGGCAGUGCUUUACAACUGGGAUAUCCAAAAGCAAUCCCUUAGGGCGGGACUCAAUUCUCACUGCACAAAACCUGAGACCAAAGUUGUAUCUUCCAAGAUCAACAGACCAAAUUAAGUGAAGAGAUCACCUCGUGGCUGUUAGGAAAUCGAGAGAAUCGAAGCCCUCAAGCAACCGAUCUGAGCAUAACUGUGAUCGAAGGAGCUUCAAUGGAGAUUGGUGUAAGAUAAGAACAAAACCCAAACGAAUGCAGACUUUUAGGGUAACGUAGACGAGAACUAAACGCCCAGGCAGUGGAAUUAGAAUUCCAAGACCCUAGAACGCUGUUGAGAAAAGUUAGAAAAAUAAUGUUAGAUGGAAGAGUGAGAAGAAUUAAAGAAUCCAACUUAACUUCACUUUCUCCUGCUGAAAAUGGAAACCUUAAGAACUUGAACUUCUUCCCAAAAAUAUUUUGGGCGACUGCCCCAAAAGAUCUAGAGUGAAGACACAAAUCAGCAGAGGUAAAAAAACAAAACAAAAACAAAAAAACAAAAGAAGAUCCCCUGAAGAUAGGAACUAACCAGGAAAGAGCCUAGCAGAUACUGGUGAUUUGGAGACAAACCUUUGAAAUUUGACCUUGAGGAUCUCUGGCUUUAAACCAUCCGCAAAGCCCAUCCGAAGAAAAAAAAGAGGUUAAAACUUGGAAGCGGAUGCCUACUUUUUUUUUUUUAAUUCUUUAUUUUAUUUGUGCAGGGGUUCAACACGUCAUGCUUUCAAUGCCACAAUAGCAAGGGUGUACAGUUAUGUAGACAUCGUGUUACAGUAGUCAGGCAUUAGAGGUUACUGCACAUUUUUAUGUAUAAUUGUUGCUUAUCAGGUAGUUUUUCAGUUCCGCUUAUCGGAAGAAGUGUGGUACAAGGUUAGAUCAAACAUGUCAACAUGAAACAAUAAGUGAUUAAUGCCAUAGAUUGAAACGUUGCUUCUUUAUCGUACAAUGCUAGCGCGGCUAUGGUAAAUAGUCAGUCCAGCUAGUGGUUACAUUAACUAUGUUUGAACUGCUGCAGUUUAUUUCAAUAUAUAAUGUAAGUUGUGGAGCUUCAGGCUACAGCACAUGAAUAACCUGGUUGGGCUGCGUGGCCAUUAUACAAUACAGUAUGCUGGGUCUAUCCUAUUGGUAAAUGUAUGAGCACAGACGCGGACCAAAACAGAGUAAGACAUUGUAUUACAUUUAGAAGCACAUUUUUUGGCAUGGUGAGGAAGGACAAUUUAGAAAAAACAAGUUAGGUAACAUUAACAGUGCUCGGUCAUACAUUAGGCAGUUUUUAAAGUAGCGAUAGCAUAUAUCACGACUUGCACAUUGCAUGCUGCGUUGCAAGUGUUGGUGAAGGCAUGUUAAAGGCAUCAUAAGUUGUGCAUAAGUGAACCUAUAUAGCAGUAAGAAUGUAUUUAUAGAUAUGCCCUAAUGUAUAGUUUAGGUCUGUAUACCGUGCGUUUGGAGUGGGCUAUUUUUGUAGGCGUCAAACGGAAUUCAAUGUGUAAAAGCUAUUCAUUAAUAGCUAAAUGUUAAUUAUGUGUGGCUUUAAUAGCCUGUGUGUGAAGGUUGGGCCUAUGCGUAUGAGUAGAGAGUCUGCAGCAGGUCUGGCGUUCCUCCGUGACAAGAGUAUGUGUGGUGACAGAUUUCUGGUUCCUAUGGCUGACAUGAGAUGUCACGUUGGGCUUAAUAUGCUCGUAAGUGGAGGGUGCAAAUGUUCGUAUAUGUGCCUGAGCGGUUUCGUCCACGAAAAAUUUAUAGUAUAGUAAUCCUUUGAGGCAUAAUGUUAUGCGUGUUGAGGUUAUAUGACUAGCGUAUAAACAUAUAAUAGAAUCAACUGACUGGUGUCUUUAACCAAGGCUGGCUGUUCAGGUAUGUGAGCUAAGGCCCACAGAAGUAACAGAAAAUGAAGAGGAAAAAAAGUAAACAGAACAAAAAAACAACACUUAAAUGUGCCGAUGUAGUUCAACUAUAUUAGUCCAAUUGUCCGGUUUGGCGUCCCCCUAUGGUGCACAGGUCCCGUUUUCAGCAUAGUCGUGUGGGAACUUCGAGUUGUAGGCGUACCUGGACUCUCGGGCUGUCGGGGGGUAUUUAUAGUGUUGUACAGUUCUUUAUGCAAGUCCUGCAGGGUUUGUCCUGUUUCAAGUGGUGGUCGUGGCGUAUAGGUCCGUGGUUGUUCUCCGGGGUACAAACUCCGGGGCAUCGGCUAAGUAUCUUCCUUGUGGGCGCAUUUGGCCUGCUGGUCGCGUCAUCGGAGCCAGUGAGUCCGUGGAGAGGCCAAGUAGGUUCAGCGUCCCAGUGGCCUCUUGCAUGUCGUGAAGAGUAUGUUUGUUACCUCCUGCUUCUAUUGUGAGAGUGCAACCUGGUCCCCAGCGGUACCGGAUUUGAUGGAGGCGCAGGAGAGCUGUGAGUGGGCUCAUGUGUCUCCUCCAUGCCAGUGUCCCUCCCGACAGAUCCGCGUAAAAUGAGAGGGUCAUUCCCUCAAAGGGAUACGUGGGCUGUCCUCCAACGGUUUCUAGGACUGCUUUUUUGUCCUUGAGUGACUGAAAUUGGAGAAUUAGGACACCUGUUGCAGUUGGUGGGGCUUUUGCUGGUCGCGGUAUGCAAAUAUUCCUUCCAGGGCGGUUGCUUUCGCUGCUUUUGGGGUUAGUAGCUCUGUAAGUAAUCUCCUGACGAAAUGUGGGAGUUCGGUCUCUGGAACGGUGUCAGGUACCCCCCUUAGCUUUAUAUUAUUCCGACUAUUUUUAUCUUCGUGAGCGGCAAGUUGCUGUUCGUGGUGCUGAGCUUUUUGUUGCAGGUCUCGGAUCGCUUCUUGGAGGACUGCAAUCUGGUUGGUGUGGCCAGUGGAGGAAGAUUCUACUACUCCCAGCCUGUUGGUGAUGCCUUUAAUGUCCUCUCUGAGCAGGGCCACAUCAUCUGCUAUUUUCUUAUGAUUGUUGGCCAUAAGUGCUCAGAUUGCCUCCAUGGUCACAGGGGUGUGAGGCUUUGUAAAUGGCUGCGCUGGUGACUGGGUCGGCAUGGGCCCCAUGGGGGUCUCCCCCAUCAUCCUCCAAUGAUCAAUCAGUGACGUCUGAGCAGCCGCCGUGCAGGGACGCCAUCUUGGCUCCUGCAGCAUCAUGCGCCUGUCUCCAUAAUUCUCCGAUAUCCAUGCCCUGGUGGGGCUUGUCAGGUCUUGCUUUUUUGUUUUUUCUGCCCAUCUUGACAGUGGGGUCUCGGGGUCGUCCCGGGAGAAGUUUGGCGUGGGUUGGAGUGCCGGUAAUAAGGUUUAUUUUGCUUUUAUUUUGCUUGUCGGUCCAGAGCUCCACGGCCAUGCGACCGUUUGCUUCAGACGCUAGGCUCCGCCUCGGAUGCCUGCUUUUCUAUGAACCAAUAUCUUUAAAAAAAACAACACCUUCCAUACUUGAAAUAAAUCUUGGAACAAGAUCCAUUUAUAGUAAAAUAAAUUGUCAAUAAUUUCCUGAGACAAAACAUUAUCCUUCAGUAUCUGGUAUACAUAAACCAGGUUGUCAGCUUGAAUUACAACAAAUUUGAGAAGUGGUACCCUUGGGAAUUCCAGGAUGCC